rnacentral:rRNA from 1 species
UACGAAGGGGGCUAGCGUUGCUCGGAAUGACUGGGCGUAAAGGGCGCGUAGGCGGCGCAUCAAGUCAGGCGUGAAAGCCCUGGGCUCAACCCGGGAAUUGCGCUUGAGACUGGUGUGCUUGAGUACGGGAGAGGAUAGUGGAAUUCCCAGUGUAGAGGUGAAAUUCGUAGAUAUUGGGAAGAACACCGGUGGCGAAGGCGGCUAUCGUGGACCGUAACUGACGCUGAGGCGCGAAAGCGUGGGGAGCAAACAGG